GAUGAACGCUGGCGGCGUGCCUAAUACAUGCAAGUCGAGCGAACAGACGAGGAGCUUGCUCCUCUGACGUUAGCGGCGGACGGGUGAGUAACACGUGGAUAACCUACCUAUAAGACUGGGGUAACUUCGGGAAACCGGAGCUAAUACCGGAUAAUAUAUUGAACCGCAUGGUUCAAUAGUGAAAGACGGUUUUGCUGUCACUUAUAGAUGGAUCCGCGCCGCAUUAGCUAGUUGGUAAGGUAACGGCUUACCAAGGCAACGAUGCGUAGACGACCUGAGAGGGUGAUCCGCCACACUGGAACUGAGACACGGUCCAGACUUCUACGGGAGGCAGCAGUAGGGAAUCUUCCGCAAUGGGCGAAAGCCUGACGGAGCAACGCCGCGUGAGUGAUGAAGGUCUUCGGAUCGUAAAACGCUGUUAUUAGGGAAGAACAAAUGUGUAAGUAACUAUGCACGUCUUGACGGUACCUAAUCAGAAAGCCACGGCUAACUACGUG
rnacentral:rRNA from 1 species